AUUGAACGCUGGCGGCAUGCCUUACACAUGCAAGUCGAACGGCAGCGACGGGGGCAACCCUGGUGGCGAGUGGCGAACGGGUGAGUAAUGCAUCGGAACGUGCCCAGUAGGUGGGGGAUAACUAGUCGAAAGAUUAGCUAAUACCGCAUACGACCUAUGGGUGAAAGGCGGGGGAUUCGCAAGAACCUCGCGCUAUCGGAGCGGCCGAUGUCUGAUUAGCUAGUUGGCGGGUAAAAGCCCACCAAGGCUUCGAUCAGUAGCUGGUCUGAGAGGACGACAGCCACACUGGGACUGAGACACGGCCCAGACUCCGUACGGGAGGCAGCAGGUGGGGUAAUUUUGGAC
rnacentral:rRNA from 1 species